UACGGGGGGGGCAAGCGUUGUUCGGAAUUACUGGGCGUAAAGGGCUGGUAGGCGGCCAACUAAGUCGGAUGUGAAAUCCCCAGGCUUAACCUGGGAACUGCAUCCGAUACUGGUCGGCUUGAAUCCGGGAGAGGGAUGCAGAAUUCCAGGUGUAGCGGUGAAAUGCGUAGAUAUCUGGAGGAAUACCGGUGGCGAAGGCGGCAUCCUGGACCGGCAUUGACGCUGAACAGCGAAAGUUAGGGGAGCAAACGGG
rnacentral:rRNA from 1 species